rnacentral:rRNA from 1 species
UGCGUAGGCGGUAGUGGUAAGUCAGAUGUAGAAAUCCCAGGGCUCGACCCUGGAACUGCAUCCGAUACUGCUGUACUUGAGGACCGGAGAGGAGACUGGAGUUCUCGGUGUAGCAGCGAAAUGCGUAGAUAUCGAGAGGAACACUCGUGGCGAAAGCGAGUCUCUGGACGGAUCCCGACGCUGAGGCACGAAGGCCAGGGUAGCGAAAG